rnacentral:rRNA from 1 species
CCUACGGGAGGCAGCAGUGAGGAAUAUUGGUCAAUGGACGAGAGUCUGAACCAGCCAAGUAGCGUGAAGGAUGACUGCCCUAUGGGUUGUAAACCUCUUUUGUCGGGGAGCAAAGCGAACCACGUGUGGUUCAUUGAGAGUACCCGAAGAAAAAGCAUCGGCUAACUCCGUGCCAGCAGCCGCGGUAAUACGGAGGAUACGAGCGUUCUCCGGAUUUAUGGGGUUUAAAGGGUGCGCAGGCGGAGGUGCAAGUCAGCGGUCAAAUUGCGGGGCUCAACCCCGUACUGCCGUUGAAACUGCAUCCCUUGAGUGCGCGAGAAGUAUGCGGAAUGCGUGGUGUAGCGGUGAAAUGCAUAGAUAUCACGCAGAACUCCGAUUGCGAAGGCAGCAUACCGGCGCGCAACUGACGCUCAUGCACGAAAGCGUGGGUAUCGAACAGGAUUAGAUACCCGUGUAGUC